rnacentral:lncRNA from 1 species
UCUCAUUAUACCACAGAAGCAAACACUAAUUCUUCUAUCAAAUAAAACCUCUAUCUGAAAGCCACAAUAUGACAUCGCGAAAAUAUGCGAGACACUUCCAAUAAAGAAUAACCAUUUUAAACACAAACUUUUCUAGCUAGUUAAUGUAAAAACGCAGGCAUAUUCAAAAUAUAGCUCAUAUGACCAAUGAUUUCUUUAACAAAGGGGUAUGUCGAGCACACAUUACUGAUUGCAAUUACGGGACGUCGUUAUUUUGAAAUAUUCAGUGUCAGUUUGAUUGCAAGGUAUUCUUCAUCCUUAAACAAAUGUCAUUGUGUUUUUAAUCAUCCUAAAUUUGAAAGAAUGAUAUAUAUGUGAUUGUAAUGGGUAAAAAUAAGAGUGGCAUUUAUACAUACGUAUAUCGAAUGUCUAUAGACGGUUGCGUGACGCAUUCGUUGCUUUUGCGGUUUCAUGUAGUUUACAUCCUGAACGACAGGGUUUUCCCCUGUAAAUAAAAAUUUCCUGUAUUUCUUCUUGCCAUUCAUUAACAAGCUAUAUUUUGGUUUAGGUUCGGGUUUUUACCACUGGUAAAUGUGUAUAAAAAUGCACAGCUGGCUCUACAUUUUAGCAAACAUAUAUUUGCCUUUGGAAACGUUUGAAAACAUUACAAAAAGAGCAAAAUGAGGUUCACCGAUUUAUACUGUACCCUGUGGUUAGUUUUACUCCUUCCUUUCAACACAUCAGGUAAAGUGUGUUUAGACUGGACCAAAAACUGCUAUUCCGAGCGCCGGACAUGUCACGGAAUGACUUCCGGAUUAAAUUUAUAUAAUAUGCAAAGUUGUUCGCACCAGUGUUGGAAUAUGGGAUAUUUACAUGGAAACUGUAUGAAAAUAAACGAACCAAGAACAUUUAACUGCAAAACAAGAUCUAAACAUGCAUGGAUAUGUUUGUGUGAUCACAGUCGCCCCGGAUGGAAGCAUGGACACUGCAAAUAACAAACUUUCAUUGUCGUCUUCAAUUCCUAAAGGACUGCCGAACUUAAGAUCAAGGAUUCAUCUUGCACUGACAACAUAUAGGCCUAUGUACGGCGAUUUGACAAAACUACGACUCAUCUGAAUAACGCCGAUUUCAAAGAUCGGGGGAUUGAUGAAAUUCACAUAUAUAUACUGCUUCAGUACAUAUAUUUUGAUGACAAGAAAUACACACAACUUAAAGCAUGUGAUAACUUACGAUCUAGAAGAAUGCUUUUACGGUCUGAACCAGUAUGGUAGAACUAUUGAUGAGAAAAAAAAAAUGAUUAUUUUACUUUUUUACUUUACAUUAUUCCACGCUGCCAAACUUCAAUGAUAAUUUACAUGUUGUUUUGUUUUUAAUAUUUAUUUAUUUAUUUAUUUAUUUAUUUAUUUGUUGACCAUUCAUGCAUGAUACAUUGGGCUGGGCCCAGUAGCAUAUUAUCACUGACAUCCCUGUUUUUAUAUUAUACAUUUGUAUUAUACAAUUUAAAUGAUUUUUUGCCUUUUACUUAUUAUUUUUUAAAUAAACUUUCACAAUGCCA